rfam:Triticum aestivum genome assembly, contig: Triticum_aestivum_CS42_TGACv1_scaffold_130969_2BL
CUUGUACUCCCUCCGUCCGAAAAUACUUGUCAUUGAAAUGGAUGUAUCUAGAUGUAUUUUAGUUCUAGACACAUCCAUUUUGAUGACANAUGUAUUUUAGUUCUAGACACAUCCAUUUUGAUGACAAGUAAUUCUGGACGGAGGGAGUACUUG